rnacentral:tRNA from 1 species
CUGGACCGGCAGGCCUUGAUCCUGCACUUUCCUAGUUAACAGCUAGGCGCCCUAAACCAGCGGGCUUCAAUCCGACUUCUCCCGGCUAUAAAACGGGAGA